GACGAAGGAUGCAAGCGUUAUCCGGAUUCAUUGGGUUUAAAGGGAGCGUAGGUGGCCUUAUAAGUCAGUGGUGAAAUCUCUGGGCUUAACCCAGAAAUUGCCAUUGAUACUGUAGGGCUUGAGUACAGUUGCUAUGGACAGAAUAUGACAUGUAAUGGUGAAAUACAUAGAGAUGUCAUAGAACACCGAUUGCGAAGGCAGCUCACAAAACUGUAACUGACACUGAGGCUCGAAAGUGCGGGGAUCAAACAGG
rnacentral:rRNA from 1 species